AAUGUCUUUUCUAGUUCG
rnacentral:snRNA from 1 species